UACAGAGGGUGCGAGCGUUAAUCGGAAUUACUGGGCGUAAAGCGUGCGUAGACGGUAGCGUAAGUCGGGUGUGAAAGCCCCGGGCUCAACCUGGGAAUUGCAUUCGAGACUGCUCUGCUAGGGUGCGGAAGAGGGAAGCGGAAUUUCCGGUGUAGCGGUGAAAUGCGUAGAUAUCGGGAGGAACACCUGUGGCGAAAGCGGCGCACUGGACCACAUCUGACGCUGAGGCGCGAAAGCUAGGGGAGCAAACAGG
rnacentral:rRNA from 1 species